GAUGUACUUGGUGGCAGAGCGAGAGAUACUCAGUUCAGUCUCUAGAACAAAACGCAAACACACCAACAUUCCACUUGGUGGCUGUCUAGGCUGUGUUCAAAGGACAUAAAAAAUGUUCCUGAUGUUAUUAAACUAUAAAUGAUGAGACACGUGAGGAGCCAGUAGGAAUAAGGGAAUUUGUGGCAUUUCAUAAGAUAAUACAGCAAAAAGUCAACUAGUGCCGGGCAGUGAUGGCACACGCCUUUAAUCCCGCACUUGGGAAGCAGAGGCAGGCGGAUAUCUGAGUUUGAGGUCAGCCUGGUCUACAGAGUGAGUUCCAGGACAACAGCCAGGGCUACACAGAGAAACCCUGUCUUGAAAAGCAAAGCAAUGGGGACUAGAGAGGUGGCUCAGCAGUUAAGAGCACUGACUGCUCUUCCAGAGGUCCUGAGUUCAAAUCCCAGCAACCACAUGGUGGCUCACAACCAUCCAUCAUGAGAUCUGACUCCUUCUUCUGAAGUGUUUGAAGUCAGCUACAGUGUACUUACAUAUAAUAAAUAAAUAAAUAAAUAAAUAAAUUUUUAAAGAUUUGUUUAUUUAUUUUAUGAGUAUGAGUACACUGUAGCUGUUAUGAGCCUUCAUGUGGUUGUUGGGAAUUGAAUUUAGGACCUCUGCUCACUCCGGUCAACCUCUCUCACUCCAGUCGGUCCAGCUCACUCUGGUCAACUCCAGUCGCUCAGUCCCUGCUCACAGUGGCCCAAAGAUUUAUUUAUUAUUAUACAUAAGUACACUGUAGCUGUCUUCAGACACACCAGAAGAGGGCGUCAGAUCUCAUUACAGUUGGUUGUGAGCCACCAUGUGGUUGCUGGGACCUUUUGAACUCAGGACCUUCCAAAGAGCAGUCGGUGAGUGCUCUUACCCACUGAGCCAUCUCUCCAGCCCCUAAAUAAAUCUUAAAAAAGCAAAGCAAAGCAAAGCAAAACAAAACAAAACAAAACGACAGCAAAGAGAACUAUUUUAAAAAAUACUUUGCUCCUGUGGGUACCGUUCUCAGAUCCCUAUCAAUCACUGUAAUAGACAUUACAUCCCUUCAUGUAUGGGUAGCACGUGUCAGUGCUUUCUGAAUCCAGAUGAGGAUCCCCAGGGACUGGACAACGUGAGCGGCCAUGUGUGUGCUAUUGAACCAAGGAGCUAUGGGAGAGCAGCCAGCACUCUUAGCCACUGAGCCAUCUCAUCUUCCCAGCCUCCAAACUUA
rnacentral:lncRNA from 1 species